rnacentral:tRNA from 1 species
GCGGGCGUGGUGAAAUUGGUAGACACGCCAGACUUAGGAUCUGGUGGCUUUGCUGUGAGAGUUCGAGUCUCUCCGUCCGCA